rnacentral:rRNA from 1 species
AGUAACACGUGGGUAACCUGCCUCAAAGAGGGGAAUAGCCUUCCGAAAGGAAGAUUAAUACCGCAUAAUAUGUUUUGGUCGCAUGAUCGAAACAUCAAAGGAGCAAUCCGCUUUGAGAUGGACCCGCGGCGCAUUAGCUAGUUGGUGAGGUAACGGCUCACCAAGGCGACGAUGCGUAGCCGACCUGAGAGGGUGAUCGGCCACAUUGGAACUGAGACACGGUCCAG